AAGCUUUAUCACUAUGAAUAGAACAAACUAAAUAGAAGGUGGUUUUUCCCCUGAUAAAACCUUACAAUAAUGGGAAGUGUUCCCCUACAAAACAUCAGAAGCUAAAGAACUUGUGCCAAGAAUCCAACGUUGAAGGUCACAUGGAGGGACUGCUCUCAUCAUUGAUCUAAUCCACUAGGAGAUGAAAUAAAACCCACUGAUCACAACUUUCAGAUUCCUGUUGACCUAAGACAAACACAGAUAUUUUAAAACCUUCUCCCAUUUGAACAGUCUGGGAAGGAAUGUCUCUACCAACAAAUAAAUACCUUUCAAGUGAAUGGCUGCUUUACUAUCAAUGUAUAAUACAACUGUGAGCAAUAACCUAUUUUUGCCCAUUAUAAAAUGUAUCCUAAAUCUCAUUACUGACCUAAAAACCUA